UAAUAUACUAGUUUAG
rnacentral:rRNA from 1 species